ACAUAUGUCGAUUGUGAAAGCCCUGGGCUCAACCUGGGAAUGGCACUGGAUACUGGCAAGCUAGAGUGUGGCAGAGGGUAGUGGAAUUCUUGGUGUAGCAGUGAAAUGCGUAGAGAUCAGGAGGAACAUCCGUGGCGAAGGCGACUGCCUGGGCCAACACUGACACUGAGGCACGAAAGCGUGGGGAGCAAACAGG
rnacentral:rRNA from 1 species